rnacentral:piRNA from 1 species
UUCGGUGAAGGAAAAUUGAAA